GACAGAGGUGCCGAGCGUUAGGCGGAAUCACUGGGCUUAAAGCGUGUGUAGGCGGAUCCGUAAGUACCUUGUGAAAUCCCACGGCUCAACCGUGGAACUGCUUGGUAUACUGCAGGUCUUGAGCCACCUAGGGGCGAGCGGAACAAGUGGUGGAGCGGUGAAAUGCGUAGAUAUCACUUGGAACGCCAAUGGUGAAAACAGCUCGCUGGGGGUGUGCUGACGCUGAGACACGAAAGCCAGGGGAGCAAACGGG
rnacentral:rRNA from 1 species